CAGCCGCCGCGGUAAUACGGAGGGUGCAAGCGUUAAUCGGAAUUACUGGGCGUAAAGCGUGCGUAGGCGGUCCGUUAAGUCUGUUGUGAAAGCCCCGGGCUCAACCUGGGAAUGGCAAUGGAUACUGGGUCACUAGAGUGUGGUAGAGGAUAGUGGAAUUUCCGGUGUAGCAGUGAAAUGCGUAGAGAUCGGAAGGAACAUCUGUGGCGAAGGCGACUAUCUGGGCCAACACUGACACUGAGGCACGAAAGCGUGGGGAGCAAACAGGAUUAGAUACCCCUGUAGUCCCUGUCUCUUAUAC
rnacentral:rRNA from 1 species